rnacentral:rRNA from 1 species
AACGGGUGCGUAACACGUGAACAAUCUACCUUAAAGUGGGGAAUAGCUCGGCGAAAGCCGAAUUAAUACCGCAUGUGGUCGAGGCUCUCCUGAGUCUCGAACUAAAGUCAGGGACCGCAAGGCCUGACGCUAUAAGAGGAGUUCGCGGCCUAUCAGCUAGUUGGCGAGGUAACGGCUCACCAAGGCUAAGACGGGUAGCUGGUCUGAGAGGAUGAUCAGCCACACUGGAACUGAGACACGGUCCAGACACC